rnacentral:rRNA from 1 species
CUGCGAAGCGCUCAGUAAAUCAGUUAUAGUCUGUUCGAUCGUUCAAGCCCAUGGAUAACUGUGGCAAAUCUAUAGCUAAUACAUGUAACAGCCCCCACCUUGGGGCACAUUUAUUGGCUAACCGACACCACCGGUGGGUAGCAAUACCUAUCGGUAGCAGGUGAAUCUAGAUAACUGUGCUUACCGUAUGACAACUGUCGACGGUAGUUCGAUCGAAUUUCUGCCCUAUCAACUAGUUGGUAAGGUAGUGGCUUACCAAGGUAGUAACGGGUAACGGGGAAUCAGGGUUCGAUUCCGGAGAGGGAGCCUGAGAAACGGCUACCACAUCCAAGGAAGGCAGCAGGCGCGCAAAUUACCCAAUCCAAACACUGGGAGGUAGUGACGAGAAAUACUGGGGACGCUCCAAGGGAGUGUCGUCCGGAAUGAACGUAACAUAAAAAAUUCGAUGAGGAUCUACUGGAGGGCAAGUCUGGUGCCAGCAGCCGCGGUAAUUCCAGCUCCAGUAGUGUAUAUCAACAUUGUUGCGCUUAAAACGCUCGUAGUUGGAUUACAGGGCUCCAAACACAGUCGCAAGCGUGUGGCGGUGGUUGCAACAAGCCCGRUUGCUGCUCUGUAGUUGGUUUUGCCAUUCUACAGAGUCGGUGGUUGGGUAGUUCAACGGGGCCCUUUUGUCGCACUGGUCCCGGGAGAAUUCUUUAUCGAUUUUGACCGGUUGCCGGUGGAGUGUGCCUUGAAUAAAGCAUGGUGCUCAAUGCAGGCGUACGCUCGUGUGUAAUAGCAUGGAACGAAUAGAUGUUGGCCGGUUGGAGUGCGUUACGCCUUUGGUGUGGACGACUUUAACGCGGUUCGAUCAGUGUUGGUUGGAACCACGGUCUCAAUGGUUAAAAGGGACAUCUGAGGGCACUAGUACUUUGUGGCGAGAGGUGAAAUUCUUAGACCCACAAAAGACUGACUAUUGCGAAAGCAUUUGCCAAGAGUGUUUUCAUUAAUCAAGAACGAAGGUCAGAGGAUCGAAGACGAUCAGAUACCGUCCUAGUUUUGACAGCAAACUAUGCCAGCAUAGGGUCGGAGCGGUCGCUCGCCAACAGCGAGUCGUACUACUGCGGGCCUUACGGGAAACCUAGCUUUCGGGCUGCUGGGAGAAUAUCGCUGCAAGGCUGAAAUUUAAAGAAAUUGACGGAGAGGCACCACCAGGAGUGGAGCCUGCGGCUUAAUUUGACUCAACACGGGGAAACUCACCAGGUCCAGACAUUGGUAGGAUUGACAGACUGGUAGAUCUUUCAUGAUUCGGUGAAUGGUGGUGCAUGGCCGUUCUUAGUUGGUGGAGUGAUCUGUCAGGUUUAUUCCGGUAACGAUCGAGACCACGGCCUUUAGUUGGUGGUGGAGUUGUUUUUAACAGCAGCUCCGUGGCCUAACUAGAGGGACUAUUGGUGAAAAACCAGGGGAAGCGUGGCAAUAACAGGUCUGUGAUGCCCUUCGAUGUCCUGGGCUGCACGCGCGCUACAAUGGCAGCAGUAGAGAGUGAGCUGGCCAGAGAUGGUUGGCGAAACUGUAAAUAGCUGUCGUGAUAGGGAUUGAGCCUUGUAAUUAUUGCUCAUGAAAGAGGAAUUCCUCGUAAGCACGAGUCAUCAACUUGUGUUGAAUACGUCUCUGCCUCUUGUACACACCGCCCGUCGCUACUACCGAUUGAAUUGUUUUUAAAGCUGGCUGGACCGGACUAUUUUUGUCAUCGACUUGUUUGAU